AGACAUUUGAGCUUUCCCUCUUUCAGGUGUUGAUAGGAGCACGUUGGAACAUGUUGUAUUGUAUUAAAUUGGCAUUCCAUGUUACUCAUCAAUUGUUUUCUUACUCAGCUAAGAAGCCUUAUUGUAAUGUCAGAAAAUACAUCCUAGCAGCGAUCUGCACUCCGAAAACAGACUUUCUGCGAUAAAUAGUUUAAAUUAGGAGCAGAUGUUUGCAAAAAAUUG